rnacentral:rRNA from 1 species
CCUACGGGAGGCAGCAGUGAGGAAUAUUGGUCAAUGGACGAGAGUCUGAACCAGCCAAGUAGCGUGAAGGAUGACUGCCCUAUGGGUUGUAAACUUCUUUUAUAUGGGAAUAAAAUGUUCCACGUGUGGGAUUUUGUAUGUACCAUAUGAAUAAGGAUCGGCUAACUCCGUGCCAGCAGCCGCGGUAAUACGGAGGAUCCGAGCGUUAUCCGGAUUUAUUGGGUUUAAAGGGAGCGUAGGUGGAUUGUUAAGUCAGUUGUGAAAGUUUGCGGCUCAACCGUAAAAUUGCAGUUGAAACUGGCAGUCUUGAGUACAGGAGAGGUGGGCGGAAUUCGUGGUGUAGCGGUGAAAUGCUUAGAGAUCACGAAGAACUCCGAUUGCGAAGGCAGUUCACUGGACUGCAACUGACACUGAGGCUCGAAAGUGUGGGUAUCAAACAGGAUUAGAUACCCGAGUAGUC